CCUACGGGAGGCAGCAGUGGGGAAUAUUGCGCAAUGGGCGAAAGCCUGACGCAGCGACGCCGCGUGAGGGAUGAAGGUCUUCGGAUCGUAAACCUCUGUCAGCAGGGAAGAACGGUCACUGUGCUAAUCAGCAGUGAAUUGACGGUACCUGCAAAGGAAGCACCGGCUAACUCCGUGCCAGCGGCCGCGGUAAUACGGAGGGUGCGAGCGUUAAUCGGAAUUAUUGGGCGUAAAGCGCUCGUAGGCGGCAUGUCAAGUCAAGGGUGAAAUCCCCGCGCUCAACGUGGGCCUUGCCUUGGAAACUGGCGAACUGGAGUGUGCGGGAGGAUAGCGGAAUUCCAGGUGUAGGAGUGAAAUCCUGAGAUAUGUGGAGGAACACCAGUGGCGAAGGCGACUUGCUGCAACAGAACUGACGCUGAGGAUCGAAAGCGUGGGUAUCAAACAGGAUUAGAUACCCUAGUAGUC
rnacentral:rRNA from 1 species